GUGGCUGUAGCUCAGUGGUACAGCGCCCGCCUCGCACGUGUGAGGCACUGAGUUUCGAUCCUCAGCACCACA
rnacentral:tRNA from 1 species